GAAAGGAUGAUACGAACUCUUCCCCGUCCUUCCCGACUCCUUCCGUACCGUAACGCCGCCGCUUGCGCCCUAGCCCCUGCCCGCGCCUCCAAUUCCUCUCCCUCUCCCCUCAAAAAAAAAAAAAAAAAAAUUCCUCUCCCUCUCUUCUGACGUGUCAGCGCACCGCCUGCUCCCGAAAGCGGCCACCUCCACACCCUGCGUGCACCGGGGGCGGCGGCCCAGCGGCGCAGACGUCCGGACGGCCCCGGCGGUGGCUGCGUUGCGACAUGGCGUGGCACGACGUGGGAGAGCCCCACCGUUGGCUGCCGGCGCCGUUGACCCCCGGCUCCUUGCCGCGCCAGCUGCGUCGCCGUAUCCGCUCCGUCUGUCGCUACAUCUGUCAGUACGUCGCUCUCUUCUCCUUUUCCCUCAUCUCAUGGCUCCUUCCCAAGAUUCUGUCUCCCUCGCGGAUGCGUGGUGGCCGGUGCCGGUGUCCGGGUCACCGCCGGCAUUGUCACGUAGCAGCAUGACCGGGCCCAGCCGAUUGCUGCCGAUGCGGGUGCCCCUCGGUGUGUCCUGGUCCCGGCCACUAGCCUUCGAUCCACCUUCAAAUCCAGCCAGUACCGACACAGAAAAGAAUCUUCUUUACCUGGAAAGAGUGUGCACUUUCUGUUGGAUUGUUACUUUGUUGGUUGAAUUAAUCACUGCUGCCCCAACGUUUGGUUCACCGGCCUAUGAUUUCUUCUCUUGGACCUAUUCUUUUGGAUGUCUCUGUUCUGAUCUCUACACCUUCCAUUAUAGAUCUGGGUGAUUUACCAAUACAUAAUCAAGCUAUUCAGGGGGUUCAAAAGCCACUAGAGGAUAUCACUGACAGCCCUGAUAUUGCUGCUGCUGAGCCUUCGAUUCAGUUGAAAGAAUACCAUUCUAUUCCAAGUGGCACCAAUUUGAUUUACCAGAAGAAUACAACAUCAUGCCUCUUCUCAAAUGAAGAGCUGCUAUGCCUUUGAAAUACUAGAAGAGUCACAACAUAAAUGAUUGUUUAUUUUGGAUAGUUCUGGAUGGAUAUAAGGCUCUUGUGACUGCUGGGAAACUUAGAGAUCUGGUCAAAUCGAAUUUCUGUGGUGGCAUGGAAAUCCCCGAGGGUGUGAAGAACAGAAGACCUACAACUAUAUCAGCAGCUUGGGAUGACGCUAUUUUCUUAAAGAUUGAUAAGGCUUCUCUCUGUCUAUGAUUAGACAAUAGUCCAUUCAAACAGCGAUUGGCCCGUAAUAUAUCAGUGUUGCGUUCCCUGAAAUAAAUACCCGCGAGUUUGCACAGGCGCGCGGAUGCGCGUGCCCCGGUACUAGUAGUGAUAACAACACAACAACACUUUCUCGAUACAGAAUUUGCAUGUGUUACAUGAAAACGCAAUAAACAAAAGUAUUUGCGAAAAAUAUCAGCAGUUUUAGCAAUUCUUGUUGUAUAGGCUAUUUAGAAUUUUAUAUAGAAAAAAGUAGGUUUCAAUACUAUCUGAUUUUGUAAAAUAGAAAAGCUAGUUUGAGCAAACAAGAGAGGAGUGUACAUGGGCCCUCAUUCAUGGUGCCGACUGCCGAGUAUGAAAUGAAGAAAUCAGGAUAGUAGUAUAUCCAA